rnacentral:rRNA from 1 species
CCUGGCUCAGAGUGAACGCUGGCGGUAGGCCUAACACAUGCAAGUCGAACGGCAGCACAGGAGAGCUUGCUCUCUGGGUGGCGAGUGGCGGACGGGUGAGGAAUACAUCGGAAUCUACUCUGUCGUGGGGGAUAACGUAGGGAAACUUACGCUAAUACCGCAUACGACCUACGGGUGAAAGCAGGGGACCUUCGGGCCUUGCGCGAUUGAAUGAGCCGAUGUCGGAUUAGCUAGUUGGCGGGGUAAAGGCCCACCAAGGCGACGAUCCGUAGCUGGUCUGAGAGGAUGAUCAGCCACACUGGAACUGAGACACGGUCCAGACUCCUACGGGAGGCAGCAGUGGGGAAUAUUGGACAAUGGGCGCAAGCCUGAUCCAGCCAUACCGCGUGGGUGAAGAAGGCCUUCGGGUUGUAAAGCCCUUUUGUUGGGAAAGAAAUCCAGCUGGCUAAUACCCGGUUGGGAUGACGGUACCCAAAG